UUUACUGGAAUGACACAUCUUCCAAAAAUAAAGAAAUUAUUAUCUAUGUCUCCUGCAAGCAGGGAAUGAAGAACACAUUUACAAAGAAAUGCUAUUCCCCAGUGAAACUUGACGAAUUUGACUGCAGCGCGGACGAGGAAGACAACACUGAGAAAGAGUGUGGGAACAAUUGUGAUUGGUCCAAUAAAACGAAGCAAAAGGCUCACGAGACCUGUUGCUCCAAUCAAAAACUGGAAUGCUCCGGCUGCAACCAAACUUCCCUGUAACUGAAUUAACAAUACAUAUAUUAUAUAGAGGCUUGUUGUCUCAUUCGGUAACUGUUUAUCCUGAAUUUUUCACUCUUGUUAGAACUUCUGUGCAAAAGUUUAGCAGUGUUUUACUUAUGAAAAUAAAAUCAUGAUUUUAAGUUAA